rnacentral:rRNA from 1 species
GCUGGCGGCACGCCUAACACAUGCAAGUACGAACGAAGUAGCAAUACUUAGUGGCAGACGGGUGAGUAACAUGUGGGUAUCUGCCCUUUGGCCUGGAAUAACACGAGGAAACUUGUGCUAAUACCGGAUAAGUCUUUACGGGGAAAGCUUUAUGCACCAUUGGAUGAGCCCGCACUUGAUUAGUUAGUUGGUAGGGUAAUGGCCUACCAAGACUGUGAUCAAUAGCUGAUUUGAGAGGAUGAUCAGCCACAUUGGGACUGAGACACGGCCCAAACUCCUACGGGAGGCAGCAGUGGGGAAUCUUGCACAAUGGAGGAAACUCUGAUGCAGCGAUGCCGCGUGAGUGAAGAAGGCCCUUGGGUUGUAAAGCUCUUUCGUCGGGGAAGAAAAUGACUGUACCCGAAUAAGAAGGUCCGG